rnacentral:rRNA from 1 species
UGGGGAAUAUUGCACAAUGGGGGAAACCCUGAUGCAGCGACGCCGCGUGAGCGAAGAAGUAUUUCGGUAUGUAAAGCUCUAUCAGCAGGGAAGAUAAUGACGGUACCUGACUAAGAAGCACCGGCUAAAUACGUGCCAGCAGCCGCGGUAAUACAUAUGGUGCAAGCGUUAUCCGGAUUUACUGGGUGUAAAGGGAGCGCAGGCGGUGCGGCAAGUCUGAUGUGAAAGCCCGGGGCUCAACCCCGGUACUGCAUUGGAAACUGUCGUACUAGAGUGUCGGAGGGGUAAGUGGAAUUCCUAGUGUAGCGGUGAAAUGCGUAGAUAUUAGGAGGAACACCGUAGGUCGGAA